rnacentral:rRNA from 1 species
GACGAACGCUGGCGGCGUGCUUAACACAUGCAAGUCGAGCGGUAAGGCCCUUUCGGGGGUACGACGAGCGGCGAACGGGUGAGUAACACGUGGGUGACCUGCCCUCAGCUCUGGGAGUAAGCCGUGGGAAACCGGGUCUAAUACUGGAUAUGACUCCAUGACGCAUGUUGUGGGGUGGAAAGCCUUGUGCGGCUGAGGAUGGGCCCGCGGCCUAUCAGCUUGUUGGUGGGGUGAUGGCCUACCAAGGCGACGACGGGUAGCCGGCCUGAGAGGGCGACCGGCC